AUUGAACGCUGGCGGCAGGCCUAACACAUGCAAGUCGAGCGGAUGAAGGGAGCUUGCUCCUGGAUUCAGCGGCGGACGGGUGAGUAAUGCCUAGGAAUCUGCCUGGUAGUGGGGGAUAACGUCCGGAAACGGGCGCUAAUACCGCAUACGUCCUGAGGGAGAAAGUGGGGGAUCUUCGGGCCUCACGCUAUCAGAUAAGCCUAGGUCGGAUUAGCUAGUUGGUGGGGUAAAGGCCUACCAAGGCGACGAUCCGUAACUGGUCUGAGAGGAUGAUCAGUCACACUGGAACUGAGACACGGUCCAGACUCCUACGGGAGGCAGCAGUGGGGAAUAUUGGACAAUGGGCGAAAGCCUGAUCCAGCCAUGCCGCGUGUGUGAAGAAGGUCUUCGGAUUGUAAAGCACUUUAAGUUGGGAGGAAGGGCAGUAAGUUAAUACCUUGCUGUUUUGACGUUACCAACAGAAUAAGCACCGGCUAACUUCGUG
rnacentral:rRNA from 1 species